rnacentral:rRNA from 1 species
UACGUAGGUGACCAGCGUUGUCCGGAUUUACUGGGCGUAAAGAGCGCGCAGGCGGUCGUUCAAGUCGAGUGUGAAAGCCCCCGGCUCAACUGGGGAGGGUCAUUCGAUACUGAUCGACUGGAAGGCAGGAGAGGGAAGCGGAAUUCCUGGUGUAGCGGUGAAAUGCGCAGAUAUCAGGAGGAACACCGAUGGCGAAGGCAGGUCUCUGGGCCAUAACUGACGCUGAGAAGCGAAAGCAUGGGGAGCGAACAGG